rnacentral:lncRNA from 8 species
AAUACUAUAUGUGCAAGUCUAGCCCAACACUAACAAUGGGUGAAGGAAUAUGUUUACCCCCGUGUUUACAUUUCAGUGAAGCAUGAAAUUGGUUAGAAAAUGCACUUCAUGAGUCUGGCUUUAUUUUCACAUGCCAAGCAGAAUUAUGAGGUACAUAACCAGCCUGUCAUACAUGAGACUCCUUCUCCCAAGUGGCCUGUCAGAUGUGGUCAAUGUCCCUGCCUGGCAUAAUAAAUAAGCAGUACGUUGUAGGCUUUUCAAUUUUUUUUUUGCAUCUCUGUCUUGUACAAUUUAUAUUUAAUUUUAAUGACUCCCCAAACAUUUUUCUAAUGUUUUAUGAAUGAACAGUUUGCAUCCCAUGCUUACACAAGCUACUUUUUUACUGUCACACAUUAUGUUUGAAUGAUCUGAACUACAGUAUUGAUCAGAUGACAGUCCAAAUAAAAGAGUUAAAUUUUUUUUGCUACGUGACUCAUGUUUGUGGUAUCAUCAGUGUUUCCUUUUCACAGUUUUGAAUAUAUUAUUUAAGACACUUUGCAACAGUUGCAUACAGCCGUAUCAUAGGUCAUUUAUUUAUCAUACCUAUGGGUUACAAGUGUGUAUGACAUUUACAUUUUAGUCAUUUAGCAGACGCUCUUAUCCAGAGCGGCGUUUGGAAUGUGAUGGUGCCGUCAGUACAUUCCAUUGCAGUACACUACAUGCCUAGCUAGUCAACAUCAGGAGACUCACUCAGUCAAAAUGUACAUGCUACAACAUAUCAACUGCCUGUGCAUUCAUUCAUUUUCAAUACGUUUGAUUUGAAAUGUCCUGUGUUAUGGAUUACAUUAAUUUACUAUGUGGGCUUUUAUUUUGAAAAGGAUUUGUACUUCCGGGUUGAACUUUUCCGUUUCCUGGUUUUAACGUUACUAACUAGCUAUCUUUUGGAGAGCAGCAAAGAAUACAGUUUUUUUAAGCCCCAAGUGACUGACAGUGAUGCAUGGGACAUGUUAUUGACAGCCUUUGGAAAGAUUCUGAAUGGGAGGGCUUGCUUCUGAGAACUGACUGCAGCCACAAAUCAUCAGUCACAUUUUCCCUGCAGCCGACCUGACUGCAACAACCAUUAUUC